rnacentral:misc_RNA from 1 species
GAUGAAGAACGCAGCGAAAUGCGAUAAGUAAUGUGAAUUGCAGAAUUCAGUGAAUCAUCGAAUCUUUGAACGCACAUUGCGCCCGCCAGUAUUCUGGCGGGCAUGCCUGUUCGAGCGUCAUUUCCACCAUCAGGCCCCCGGGCCUGUGUUGGGGACCUGCGGCUGCCCGCAGGCCCCGAAAUUCAGUGGCGGUCGCGCCGUAGCAACCGAGCGUAGUAACUAAAACGUCUCGCUCCGGCUCGCUGGGCGCGCUCCGGCCGUAAAACACCCCCCCUUUUCGCAAAGGUUGACCUCGGAUCAGGUAGGAAUACCCGCUGAACUUAAGCAUAUCAAUAAGCGGAGGA